CUUUUCCUUUGCACAGGUUUUGAAAAAUCUCCCCCAUUACCUUCUGCACAAUUCUCAUUCAAAGCAUUAGGCCUCAUGUACAACGGAGAGCCAUAACAGGCUCCAAUACCUGUUUGCAAGACCCUACUGUAAUGGCAGUUCUAGGAAGGACAACUGGUAAACUGGUGACAUGAGCACCCAAGGGUCGCUGAUGCAUGUGGGGAAAGAUGACUAGCCCUACUGAUCCAAUUCCACAGGCGCUCUAUUGCAAAUCAAAAAGAUUACAUUUACAACAGCAAUGUUGUGGCUACAACUGACAUUUAUCAAGCCAGAAAUAUUUGUGAAACUCACUGACACCUUGGACCUUUUGCAUCUAUUUGUUGUUGGGAACCACCCCAGAUGGUUUGGAACCCUUCAUCUUGCCCAAGCAGUCAUUUCUGGGAUCCACGCUGAGGUGUCUAAUAAAAUUAGAGCAACAGUUUACGUCUUAAUCUAGAAAGAGAGAAGAAGAAAGAGAAGUGGAUAAUUCUCAAGACGCGUUGUCCGUGAUCUUUUACUACAGUAAAUGAUGUCCUUUUGUUUCAGCCGUGGUUUGUGUUUGCUCACCACAACUGAUCAGUAAACUGAAAACCCUCUGCUAUUCCUUUAAAGGUGCUGAUGAGACCAGGGGAAAUGAAAGGGUUAAGCAAGAAGAUAAGCUCAAGUUAGCAGUGAUAGAAGGGAGACAUUAGCUUCAGACUGUCACGCUCUGCAACCACAGCAGAAGCCGAGGAUUAUACUUGCACAGGAUUUCAAUGUAGCUUUCAUCACUACUUGUGGAGCUGAGGCUGGAGCAUCUUAAUGGGACACAGAAUGUGGAAGGUUUCAUGUGCUACACAAUUACUUUAAACUCACCACUGUGCAACCUGGCUGAGCAGAACGAAUGUCACCUCUGAAAUAUAUGCGUAAUGAGGCAUCUCUCAUACCAAGCCUUUCUUCAUGAAAGUCAUGCAACGUGCUUCAAGACGUGCCCUCUUUGCCCUUUCUAUCUGAUAUCCCCAUUAGAGUCUGACUUUAUAUGUGUGUCUGUAUAUAUAUAUAUAUAUAUAUAUCUCUUAU